UCUACCUACGGGAGGCAGCAGUAGGGAAUCUUUCACAAUGGGCGAAAGCCUGAUGGAGCAACGCCGCGUGCAGGAUGAAGGCCUUCGGGUUGUAAACUGCCUUUAUAAGCGAGAAAUAUGAUGGUAACUUAUGAAUAAGGAUCGGCUAACUACGUGCCAGCAGCCGCGGUAAUACGGAGGGUGCAAGCGUUACUCGGAAUCACUGGGCGUAAAGAGCGCGUAGGCGGGAUAGCAAGUCAGAUGUGAAAUCCUAUGGCUUAACCAUAGAACUGCAUUUGAAACUGUUAUUCUAGAGUAUGGGAGAG
rnacentral:rRNA from 1 species